GGAAGGAAUGUAUAGCGAAAGCUAGUUGUAUUAAGAUCGUCCUUUAGUUAAUGCAGCAUCGACUAUGUCGAAUAAAGUUCUAGGUAGAGUUAUGAUAAUGACAUUUUCUACCUAUGUGUCUUGACCAAGUCACGUGCCAGCAGUCGCGGUAAUACGUGGAAGACUAGUGUUAUUCAUCUUUAAUAGGUUUAAAGGGUACUUAGACGGUAAAUUUAGCCCAGAUUAAAACAAAGGGUACUAAUAAUACUAGAGUUUAAUGAGAGGGGGGGUGUAAUAGUGGAGUAGCGAUGAAAUUCUGUCAUACCAUUAUGACAGGCAACGGCGAAAGCAACCUUUUAUGUGAAAACUGACGUUAAAGGACGAAGGCUUUGUAUCGCCAACAGGAUUAGGUACCCAAGUAGUCUCAGCAGACAAUUCUGAAUGCCAUAGAUAAGAUGUAAUUUUGUCUAUAAAUGAAAGUGUAAGCAUUCCACCUCAAGAGUAAUGUGGCAACGCACAAACUGAAAUCAUUAGACCGUUUCUGAAACCAGUAGUGAAGUAUGUUGUUUAAUUUGAUGGUCCGCACAAAACCUUACCACAAUUUGUAUAUUAUUAUCUUAAUACAGGAGUUGCACGGCUGUCUUCAGUUAAUGUCGUGAGAUUUAGGUUAAUUCCGAUAAAUUAACGUAAACCCUUACUUUAUUUAUGUUAUAAAGUAGUUCGCCGCUAUAUUGGUUAUGAUAAAA
rnacentral:rRNA from 1 species